GACGAACCGUGCGAACGUUGUUCGGAAUCACUGGGCUUAAAGGGCGCGUAGGCGGGUCACCAAGUCCGGGGUGAAAUCUUUCGGCUUAACCGGAAAAUAGCCUUGGAUACUGGUGAUCUGGAGGGUGGUAGGGGCAUGUGGAACUUCCGGUGGAGCGGUGAAAUGCGUUGAUAUCGGAAGGAACGCCGGUGGCGAAGGCGGCUCACUGGCCCGGUACUGACGCUGAGGAGCGAAAGCGUGGGGAGCGAACAGG
rnacentral:rRNA from 1 species